rnacentral:rRNA from 1 species
UAGGGAAUAUUGCACAAUGGGGGAAACCCUGAUGCAGCGACGCCGCGUGAGUGAUGAAGGCCUUCGGGUCGUAAAGCUCUGUUGAACGGGAAGAAACAAAUGACGGUACCGUUUAAGAAAGGAUCGGCUAACUUCGUGCCAGCAGCCGCGGUAAUACGAGGGAUCCUAGCGUUGUUCGGAAUCAUUGGGCGUAAAGAGUAUGUAGGCGGCCUAGUAAGUCAGUUGUGAAAGCCCCGGGCUCAACCCGGGAAGUGCAAUUGAUACUGCUUGGCUUGAAUGUGGAAGAGGGCAGUAGAAUUCCAGGUGUAGUGGUGAAAUACGUAGAUAUCUGGAGGAAUACCGGUGGCGAAGGCGGCUGCCUGGUCCUACAUUGACGCUGAGAUACGAAAGCGUGGGGAGCAAACAGGAUUAGAUACCCCAGUAGUCCCUGAGCGGGCUGGCAAGGCGCAU